GUUUCGUCUUGUGGCGAGUUUCUUAUUUGCUGGGUGGGGAGCUUUUUUAAUAGCUGGAUGUUUCGCUGGAUGGUGGGGUAUUGCAGCAUGGUUGUCAUUGGUGCUAGUGGGUGGUUGCUGUGGGUUGGGAGCCUCUUCAUUUUGCUGCACUCUUGCUUCAUUGAUGGCAGUUUCUGCGUUUUUCUUGAUGGAGAGUGGCAGGCCUUUGUGGUAGCCAUGCUUUGUUCCGUGCUCAAGGAUGUGUUGCACCUCACGGUUAUAGUCGAUAGGGUCUGUGCAGUAUAAAUACGCUCUGCUGAAGUAUGAACGGAA
rnacentral:lncRNA from 1 species